UACAGAGGGUGCGAGCGUUAAUCGGAAUUACUGGGCGUAAAGCGCACGUAGGCGGAUGUGUCAGUCAGGGGUGAAAUCCCGGAGCUCAACUUCGGAACUGCCUUUGAUACAGCACGUCUUGAGUCCGAUAGAGGUGGGUGGAAUUCCUAGUGUAGAGGUGAAAUUCGUAGAUAUUAGGAAGAACACCGGUGGCGAAGGCGGCCCAACUGGCCCGAUACUGACGCUGAGGUGCGAAAGCGUGGGGAGCAAACAGG
rnacentral:rRNA from 1 species